CUCCUGAGUCGGGGUGACAGCGUCCCGCUGCUGGGAAAGUGGGCGGGGCCGCGCGGGGUAGUCCUAGAUCUGCAGUGUGCGAGUUUGCCGGAUGUGACUGUAACUUCGCUAGCUAAAAUGCUUGAGAGCGGACCCUUCAUCCCUUUGAGCAUGUUUCUUCCUAAAAUGCGCGGAUACCGGGAGAUCAAGAUGAGGGAUGUCAUGUGCCUUGUGAACUGUCACCCGCCGUGCACAGAGUCUCUCUCUAUCCCCCAGGCUGAAGCGCAGUGGCACAAUCUCAGCUGACUGCAACCUCCGCCUCCCGAGUUCAAGCGAUUCUUAUGCCUCAGCCUCCUGAGUAGCUGGGAUUACAGCUGCCUGCCACCACGCCUGGCUAAUUUUUGUAUUUUUAGUAGAGUUGGGGUUUUGCCAUUUUGGCCAGGCUGGUCUCGAACUCCUGACCUCGGGUGAUCCACCCGCCUCGGCCUCCCAAGUACUGGAAUUACAGGCGUGAGCCACCGCACCCGGCCCUCCCCCAACUUAUUUCAGAAUAUUUGAUGCUGUAUUUCCACCAGCCAGAGUUCCCUGAGAGCGGGGGCUACAUCUUGUACCGUAACUGUGAACGAGGCCUAGCAGAGCCUGGUAGAAGUUCCAUGUUUGGUUGAAGGAAUGAAUGUGGUGUGGAUGCCUCUCCUCUUAUCCACUCCUCUCCUCAAUCUGGUUGAUGGGCAGGUGGCGUCCAUUUGUCUGAAGAGGUAAAUGAUAGGAAGAAACUCUAGCCACCACCAUGCACACAGAUUUCCUGACUUCCAACUCAAGUUUCUUUCCUCUUCAUCACACAGGAUAUCUCCAAUUCAUUGCAACUGUUUCAGGAUACCAACUGUUGGGCAGAAGCACAAAUGGGAGCGGGUUGAACCCACUUUCACCUACUGAGCAUAUUCCAUACUGGUCAUCAGAAUGUUUAGAUAGUAUGUUAAUAUGUCAGUUGUUAAGCCUAUGAAGAAUAUAUGUUAAAAGAAGCAAUGUGGCCAGGCAAGCUGGCUCAUGCUUGUAAUCCCAGCGCUUUAAGAGGCUGAGGCAGGAGGAUCCCUUGAGGCCAGGAGUUCAAGACCAGCGUGGGCAACAGGCUUCAAAAAAGAAGAAAUGUAAAAGCAGAGAUGUGAACAAGAGAUAGAGUGCAUCUUUGUUGCUUGGGUGCUCCCCCUGUUGUCCAAUGGCAGAAGCUCCACGUCUUCCUCUGAGGGCUGAAUCUGGUUCUACUUGUGCCCAUUGGAUCCUCUUAUUGAUGAGGGUUACAAAGGCCGAGAUUGGCCUGCCAGAGAGACCCACAGCACCUCUUCAGACUUACUACCUUCUUUCCUUUCCUUCUUUUGACAAAUAUGUAUUGAGCACUCCUAGUCCAGGAAUUGUACCAAAUGCCCAGAAUAUAAAUGAACAAGACAUGGUCCUCAACCACCACCCUAGAGACAGGCAUAAAAAGAACUGACAGUAACAAGCCCCUAAUUUCAUGUAGUAAAUUAUAUCUAAUAAAGUGCCUUCGCUUUUCAUGGAA